AUGGAUUUAUUAUGAAGUGGAUAGCUAGAUGGGACAGAUCAAGAGUUAACCUUGGCUAGAUUGGAAGAACCUAGUGAGAAUUCUGUUCAUCCCUCCUCAACAAUUUUCCUAUUCAACUAAAACAUGCUCAAGAUAUCCAGACGUAGCUUAAGGCAGUCCAUCUGCACUGUCUGCAGUGAUUUGAACGGGUAUAAUGACCUUUUCUGUGUGCUGUAUCAUUGUGGCACGAACGUUUUGAGAAUACGCUCGUCGGAAUGUUAUUUUCGCAGAAAUGGAGCCAAAAAACUAUUUUCUGAAUCGUCCAAUCUGCCAACCAGGAAGUGGAUGAACAGGACUACACUAAGCUACUCGGAAACACAAAAAAUGGCAAGCUUAAGGGCAUCUUUUGAAGGCAUCGCUGUCUUACAGCCGCAGAGCUAUAAAUAAAACCACUUCGCAUUCCGUCAAAAAAAAAAAAAUGGACAGUCAAAAACACCUCUGGUGCUACACAAGUUCAUCAAAACAAUUCUGAUGAAAUCCAAACCGAUAAAUAAUUCAUCGACCAUCAUAAAAAUCGUAAAUUAUCUUUUUCCCCAUGAUUCUAUCGUAGUAAACAUGGUGGAGUAUUCAAAUGGGAAAAAAUUUACAUUUAAACGAUUUCACCCAUUCUUGGGAUUCUUGGUUUAUUCAUAAUCUGGCGGCCCCCUUGGUCUAGAGACGGUUCAAUGGCCAAUAGGUCGAGUGACCUCGAUACAGACGUUUUGGGAGAGAAAAAAAUCCGUGAAUACUGAUGAAAUAGACGUACGCAAUGUGUGUGUUCUUUGAUCUUUCGGAUCUUCGAGUUCAACGAACAAGAUUGAGCCACGAUUUGGACAGUGUGAGAAUGUCUGCUCCUUCUAGAUCGAUGGGGUUUAAAUCUGGUGAACGGGGUGUCCGCAGA